UACGUAGGCAGCAAGCGUUGUUCGGAAUUACUGGGCGUAAAGAGCGUGUAGGCGGUCCGAUAAGUCCGCUCUGAAAGCCCGGGGCUCAACCCCGGGAGGCGGGCGGAUACUGUCGGGCUAGAGUCCGGAAGAGGCAAGUGGAAUUCCUGGUGUAGCGGUGAAAUGCGCAGAUAUCAGGAGGAACACCGAUGGCGAAGGCAGCUUGCUGGGACGGUACUGACGCUGAGACGCGAAAGCGUGGGGAGCAAACAGG
rnacentral:rRNA from 1 species